rnacentral:rRNA from 1 species
AUUGAACGCUGGCGGCAUGCUUUACACAUGCAAGUCGAACGGUAACAGGUUAAGCUGACGAGUGGCGAACGGGUGAGUAAUGUAUCGGAACGUGCCCAGUCGUGGGGGAUAACGUAGCGAAAGCUACGCUAAUACCGCAUACGAUCUCUGGAUGAAAACGGGGGACCGCAAGGCCUCGCGCGAUUGGAGCGGCCGAUAUCAGAUUAGGUAGUUGGUGGGGUAAAGGCCCACCAAGCCAACGAUCUGUAGCUGGUCUGAGAGGACGACCAGCCACACUGGGACUGAGACACGGCCCAGACUCCUACGGGAGGCAGCAGUGGGGAAUUUUGGACAAUGGGGGCAACCCUGAUCCAGCAAUGCCGCGUGCAGGAAGAAGGCCUUCGGGUUGUAAACUGCUUUUGUACGGAACGAAAAGGCUCUGGUUAAUACCUGGGGCUCAUGACGGUACCGUAAGAAUAAGCACCGGGUAACUACGUGCCAGCCGCCGCAGUAA